rnacentral:lncRNA from 1 species
AGAAAAAAAGGGAGAAAAGGGAGGUAGGAGAUCGUUCUAUAUUUUAUAAGCAUUCUAAACAAAUACUGACUUGGAUGUCGGAGUGUUUUCUUGCAGGUCCCCCUGCUCUCAUUGUUGACAAGCGAAGAUGGUGUCCAAGGCUUCUCAACGUGUUCAAAAUUACUUGUUGGUGGAGAAUUGGAGUACCCGAAAUUUUCCGCUCCAACAGGCGGUUCUAAUAGCAAGUUUAGGUUAGAGUUUGUUUCCCGUUACAGGUUUGAAACUUUUGCAUUGCGAAGCCUUGGUCGAAUGUACCACUCAGGUUGAUUUCUCCAUUACGGUUGCCUCAGUGGCUGCUGGCAAGGUGUUUGGGGCGGCACCGGCAACGUUUUACCAUUGCAAGAUUAGUAUUAGGGUUAUGCUUACUAUCCAGUUUUUUUUUUUUAUCUAGUUUUCCCACUUUGUUGUGGCCUUUUUGCUUAUCUAUUUAUUGGGGUAGUUGGCUUUACCCAAAUGUAGUACUUUAUAUUGUUUAAUGAAUGAUGCUCUUUUGACAAAAAAAAGAACCCUAUAAAUUAA